rnacentral:misc_RNA from 1 species
GAUGAAGAACGUAGCGAAAUGCGAUAAGUAAUGUGAAUUGCAGAAUUCAGUGAAUCAUCGAAUCUUUGAACGCACAUUGCGCCCGCCAGUAUUCUGGCGGGCAUGCCUGUUCGAGCGUCAUUUCAACCAUCAAGCCCCCGGCUUGUGUUGGGGACCUGCGGCUGCCGCAGGCCCUGAAAAGCAGUGGCGGGCUCGCUGUCACACCGAGCGUAGUAGCAUACAUCUCGCUCUGGGCGUGCUGCGGGUUCCGGCCGUAAAACCACCUUCAUAACCCAAGGUUGACCUCGGAUCAGGUAGGAAUACCCGCUGAACUUAAGCAUAUCAAUAAGCGGAGGA